UAUCUCUGUAGAGUCUGCAUAUCAAUAAGCGGAGGAAAAGAAACUAACUAGGAUUCCCUUAGUAACGGCGAGUGAAGCGGGAAGAGCUCAAAUUUGAAAUCUUCAAGGUUCUACCUUGACGAAUUGUAGUUUAAAGAAGUGUUUUCUGUUGGAGUUUUGGUAAAAGUUCUUUGGAAUAGGACAUCAUAGAGGGUGAGAAUCCCGUAUUUGACCAUUAUUUCCAGCUUUGUGAUACACUUUCAAAGAGUCGGAUUGUUUGGGAAUGCAGUCCAAAAUGGGUGGUAAAUUUCAUCUAAAGCUAAAUAUUGGCGAGAGACCGAUAGCGAACAAGUACCGUGAGGGAAAGAUGAAAAGAACUUUGAAAAGAGAGUUAAACAGUACGUGAAAUUGUCAAAAGGGAAGCGUUUGACACCAGUGUUGUUUUCUCGAAAAUCAAUUAAAAAAAGUUGGAUUUUGUAUUGUUAAAACCUUAUCAGCUUACUGUACUCUUUUCUUGCUUUUUUUAAUGCACUUUUCGUUUAACAAGUCAACAUCAAUUUCUUUUGUUGUAAAAGAGUCAUUGGAAGGUGGCUCUCACUUCGGUGAAAGUGCUUAUAGCCUUUGGCUUCUGCAAUCGGAGAGAUUGAGGUCUGCAGCGUAGAUCCUUCGGGGCUAGAUACGUAGAUGCCAAGUUAUAGUUUUUUAUAGACAACUUGUUGACUAUAAUUAAUCGUGUAGCUUACUCGUUUGCGCUAUUUUACCUACGCUUAGGAUGUUGACGAUCAGCUGAGCGCG
rnacentral:rRNA from 1 species